GGUGAUGGGCUCAUGGGGGCGCCACCCAGAGGCAAUGCAGAGAUCUCCCUUUACUUUCAGUGACGGAAAAGGAAAUUGUGGCCUCUGGGAGUCUGGACUUGACUAUACUUCGCUACCCUUGUUCAGCAUGCCGGUUAAGGAAGACCUCUUCCACCAGCCAGUACUCUGUCCUUUGUAACCCCAUUUACAGUACCAGAAGGAUCUUCUAUGUGAGCUUUGGGUAUAAGAAGACAUACCUACCAGCUUCCUAGGAUGAGUCUUGAAAAUCACCUGCUUAGUUUUCUUAAAAUGAGAAUCUAUAGUUGUAUUUGCUAGUAUCUGCCUAAAGAAUUUCUAGAAGGUGACACAUAAAAAGAAGAACAACGAUGACCUAUUCGGGGGAACUGGGUAGUUGGGGCACAAUGGUAAAAGGAAGACUUUUCCCUAUAUGCUUGUGUGUACUGGCUUUUGAACAAUUUGACUAUUAUUCACACAUAAAAAUUAAACGUAAA
rnacentral:lncRNA from 10 species